rnacentral:rRNA from 1 species
AACGAACGCUGGCGGCAUGCCUAACACAUGCAAGUCGAACGAAGGCUUCGGCCUUAGUGGCGCACGGGUGCGUAACGCGUGGGAACCUGCCCCUCGGUUCGGAAUAACAGUUAGAAAUGACUGCUAAUACCGGAUGAUGACUUCGGUCCAAAGAUUUAUCGCCGAGGGAUGGGCCCGCGUAGGAUUAGCUAGUUGGUGGGGUAAAGGCCUACCAAGGCGACGAUCCUUAGCUGGUCUGAGAGGAUGAUCAGCCACACUGGGACUGAGACACGGCCCAGACUCCUACGGGAGGCAGCAGUGGGGAAUAUUGGACAAUGGGCGAAAGCCUGAUCCAGCAAUGCCGCGUGAGUGGUGAAGGCCUUAGGGUUGUAAAGCUCUUUUACCAGGGAUGAUAAUGACAGUACCUGGAGAAUAAGCUCCGGCUAACUCCGUG